rnacentral:tRNA from 1 species
GCGGGCCUGGGGAGCGUUUCCCCGUAGACGGUCCCGGAACGCCCGUGGUCCGGGGUUCAAAUCCCCGCGGCCCCACCA